UGCUCGCAUGUGCACACAGUUCAGCGCUGCUCCUUUCAAAAUCCAAACUGUGUACUAAUACCUCAAAAUUACCUUCUGGCUGGCCACAUACAGUUUGAACCACAAUAAGGUCAUUUGUGGGAGGCAAUAGGACCAUGGACCCACCUACACUAAACCUGUACACGAGCACCGAGCCGUAGAGCUUCAGUUUCUCAAUGAGACCCAGCUAUUGGCAAGUCCUCUGGGAGGUGCUGCAUUCCGGUAUAGGUUGCUGAUUGAAUGUGGCAGGCGCAUGGACUGCCAGACCCCAGUUCAUCAACAAUGUCAUACCUGUGCAACGGCACGGAAAGAUGGCAUCUUCUUCAGCAUGCUCGUCUGUUCUCCCUCCCUUUGACACUAAAUAAACUCGCCAUUACUUUCAACUUCAAAACAACCCUUUAUUAGCUGACAAGCUGAGGUGUAGAUAAUGCUGAGCCCUUUGAUGCCUGAACUAUUCUUAGUCGUAGCUUUUUUCAGUGCCCUUACUCUCACAGCCAGUUUCCAACUGAGAACCAUGAGAGUUUUCUUUAUUUGUGCGCAAUAUAGUUGUGAUCCAAUUAAAUAUAUCUGACAUAAUAGUCGCAAAGACUGCCUGAAGCUGUAGACGAUUUAAAAAGCGUGAAGUUCGUGGCCUCUUUUUGUGUUUAUCUUACUGACACUGACACACAUUGGCAGUAGAGAGUAUGAAUGGUGAUAAGGGUUUUUCCCCUGGCCUCUAAUGUGCCUCAGAUAUCUCUCAACAUCAGCUGACAGUAGUGACAGCAGAGUCAAAAUUCACUCAUGUAAGAGUUACAGUACAUGGCAAAUGAGAGGGUAAUGGGACAUUGGGAUGUUUCUUCUUAUAAUGCACCAAUGGUUUUCCAAUUACCAUCUCUCAAGCUGGGGUGUCUGUUUAGAGCUUUACAGAGAGCUUUUAAGGCUUUUUAGUUAAGCAUACUUUUUCAAAUGUACUUUUUGAAAGACUUUAUGUCAAGGAAAACAUUGCAUCAUGAUUGUGUUUUGGUGAAGAAGUAGACUUCACUAACCAGCACAUAUAUGUCAUAUUUACAUAGAGGCUUUGCUGUGGAAUGUAGCCCCUGGCUGAAAGCUAGAACAUUGUGUAUAUUCUAAUGAUCAAAUAUAUUCAACAUGACCAAAUGUAUCUUUUUAGUGUAAACAGGGUAACACAUCUGAGUGUUUGAGCCACUUCUUGUUUCACCGAUGAGUGGGAGUCAUAUAAGAAGUGAAAUGAAAUCCAAAAGCUGAGGGAAAAUUUGUAUUCUUUUGUAUUUUCUGGACAAGCUAUUACUAAAACAAAUAUUACGCAUGUAACACUAUGUAUAUUGCUGUGA